UGAGGGAAUAUUUGGGGUCAAUGGGCGCAAGCCUGAACCAGCCAAGUAGCGUGAAGGAUGACUGCCCCUAUGGGUUGUAAACUUCUUUUAUGCGGGAAUAACCUCGACCAUGUAUGGUCGUUUGCAUGUACCGCAAGAAAAAGCAUCGGCUAAUUCCGUGCCAGCAGCCGCGGUAAUACGGAAGAUGCGAGCGUUAUCCGGAUUUAUUGGGUUUAAAGGGAGCGUAGGCGGACUAUCAAGUCAGUUGUGAAAGUCAUCGGCUCAACCGCUGAAUUGCAGUUGAAACUGGUAGUCUUGAGUACGCACAAAGUGGGCGGAAUUCGUGGUGUAGCGGUGAAAUGCUUAGAUAUCACGAAGAACUCCGAUUGGCGAAGGCA
rnacentral:rRNA from 1 species